CCAAGUUUAAGGCCUAAUUAGUGGAGAAUCAGAAAUCCAAGUAGGGAUUGAUUUGUUUACUUCUCCCCACAGCUGAGUUUCCCAUCCCAGCUCUUGGGUUUUCAUGAAAGGCAGCCAAGCACACGGAAAGCUCCAGGCAGCCCAGCAGGAGCAGAGGUGAGUCAUCUACUUCUAGAGGGAUUAGGUUCAGUAAUGUCCCAUUAAUCUGGCUUCAUCAGGAAAUGAGCUGUGUCACCUAAGUACAUUUUCCAAUAACUGAAGCUUACCCUUUCAUGUGCCAAAACUUGAUUUAAUCAUUUUGGAUGGAAGGCCUUCUAAAACUAAUUACAUGCCCCUUGCCUAUUGCAGGUGGGGUGUGUGUGUGUGCUCAUUCUCUAACCUUUACUUGAGGACACAGGAACCAUUAAUUCACCAGGCUAUAAAUUAAGGAAAGUAAGGUGCUAUUUGCACCAAUAAUGAAUUUCCCCCUCUGUGCUUUGGAUUUUGAGCUCUUCUGCCUUCUUUAAUAAUUGUAUUCUUCCCCUCCCCUGUCUAUUUCUUCAUGCUUUUUGGGUAUUGUAUGACAGACCGACAGGAAUGGACUCUGAUCUCAGAGCUACAUGCAGAUUCUUGCUCUGCUCUUAUGUCCACUGGGCUCCAGGGACUGUGUGUAGUGUGUGUCCCAGUGAGCUGUCACCGAUUAUGUCUGGAAAGUCCAGUCCUGUCCUACCAUCAUUGAAAAGACCAGAUCCACAAUGAAAAGGAAGCUCCAUUACUGUGGCGCUCGACUCUCAGGUCAUGUGACUGCUUAAUAAUAAGCACAGCUUCCUAGCGAGUGGGUUUGCUUCUUGCUCUGCAGCUUUUCUACAUUUUAACCCAGAUACCUAGUCUUCAGAGGGUCCUUUCUGAGCUACAUGGUCAAUCUUGCCACUGCCUUAUUUGCUCUGUAUUCAGUCUCAAGGCAUGUACAUAAACCUGGGUUCAGGGUAGGGACUGGACAUGCCUUUCUCAUCAACAGGCGAAGCAUCCGAGGUUUUAGAGGAGAGCAAAGAUUCUAGAGUAAAUCUCACAAUCUGCUCUGCAUGUGGAGGUCCCAGGAGAUGCAGGCGGUUCUGUAGACUUUGGAUCUUUAAAAUGCUGGCAUGCCACAGUCAAGUCCCACUUUGGACGCCUGCCCCACACUUUUCUGUGUUGAAGGAGAACUGCAAAGGCCCCAUUGCUCAACUCUUGGGAAUGGGGAGAAGAAUUGUGGCCUUGACACGGAUGUGUACAAUGGAGGCCUCUGCGUAUGUAUGUACCCAGUGCUGCCAAGACCCACGGUGAAACUGUAUCUUCUGGCCACAGUUUUAAGGCUUACAGACGCCCGGAACCCUUGCACCCCAGGUUCCUUGGAGCCUUUCUCCAGGUAUAGAACCACACACAGUUGAUCCUAGCCAGGCUGGAGAGUCAUGCUUUGGAGCGCACAAAGCCUGUUUUUGGUCUUGUGGAAGGUGUUUUGAAGACUUCUGGUAGAUGAGCUUGAACAAUUGCUCCUGUCAGUCCUUUCCUUCCAGCAUAUGCCUGCUGUCUCCCACCCCACUGAGAGUUGGACCCUAAUCGUCUGCCCUUUGACUAUGGGGUAGUCUCAUGACCUCUUUUACUAACAGUGCAUCCAGAUGAACAUUUUGUGACUUCCAAGACUUGGUCCUGAGAAGGCUCUCUCUGUCUACCUGGUUUCCUGGGGUCUCCUUCCUGGGCCACAUCUUCUCAGAAUCCAGCCAUCACACUAUGAGGCUGUGACAACCCCUUCUGUGGGGACAGUUGGCAUCAACUUCCAGCCACAUUGAGUGUGCUGUCUUGGAUUAGCAGACAGCAUUAAGAAGACUCCAGAUCAAGCAGUCACAUGACUAAUCACAUGAAAGCCCAGAUAAGAAAUGCCCCCCCCAACCUAGUGUACUCAUAGAACCAUGAGUGAAAGGAAUAAACAUUUAUUUAUUUAUUUAUUUAUUUAUUUA
rnacentral:lncRNA from 1 species